GAGCCUCCGGCUUAAUUUGACUAAAGAGGGGAAAACUUACCCGUCCCGGAUACAGGAAGGAUUGACAGAUUAAGAGCUGUUUCUUAAUUUUGUGGAUGGUGGUGUAUGGCUGUUUUUAGUUGGUGGAGCGAUUUGUCUGGUUAAUUCCGAUAACGAACGAGACUCCAGCCUACUAAAUAGACCCUCCAAUCCUUCGAGUUGGACGUUCUUCUUAGAAGAACAAGCGGAGUUUAAUCGCACGAGACCGAGCAAUAACAGGUCUCUGAUGCCCUUAAAUGUCCUGGGCUGCUCGCGUGCUA
rnacentral:rRNA from 1 species